GCUCGUGUAGCUCAGUGGUUAGAGCUUCGUGCUUAUAG
rnacentral:tRNA from 1 species